rnacentral:rRNA from 1 species
GCUUGCGGGGGGAUUAGUGGCGAACGGGUGAGUAACACGUGAGUAACCUGCCCUUAACUCUGGGAUAAGCCUUGGAAACGAGGUCUAAUACUGGAUAUUGACUUUACCUCGCAUGGGGUUUUGUUGAAAGAUUUAUUGGUUUUGGAUGGACUCGCGGCCUAUCAGCUUGUUGGUGAGGUAAUGGCUCACCAAGGCGACGACGGGUAGCCGGCCUGAGAGGGUGACCGGCCACACUGGGACUGAGACACGGCCCAGACUCCUACGGGAGGCAGCAGUGGGGAAUAUUGCACAAUGGGCGAAAGCCUGAUGCAGCGACGCCGCGUGAGGGAUGACGGCCUUCGGGUUGUAAACCUCUUUCAGUAGGGAACAAGGCCAGCAUUUUUGUUGGUUGAGGGUACUUGCAGAAGAAGCGCCGGCUAACUACGUGCCAGCAGCCGCGGUAAUACGUAGGGCGCAAGCGUUAUCCGGAAUUAUUGGGCGUAAAGAGCUCGUAGGCGGUUUGUCGCGUCUGCCGUGAAAGUCCGGGGCUCAACCCCGGAUCUGCGGUGGGUACGGGCAGACUAGAGUGAUGUAGGGGAGACUGGAAUUCCUGGUGUAGCGGUGAAAUGCGCAGAUAUCAGGAGGAACACCGAUGGCGAAGGCAGGUCUCUGGGCAUUAACUGACGCUGAGGAGCGAAAGCAUGGGGAGCGAACAGGAUUAGAUACCCUGGUAGUCCAUGCCGUAAACGUUGGGCACUAGGUGUGGGGGACAUUCCACGUUUUCCGCGCCGUAGCUAACGCAUUAAGUGCCCCGCCUGGGGAGUACGGCCGCAAGGCUAAAACUCAAAGGAAUUGACGGGGGCCCGCACAAGCGGCGGAGCAUGCGGAUUAAUUCGAUGCAACGCGAAGAACCUUACCAAGGCUUGACAUGAACCGGAAAUACCUGGAAACAGGUGCCCCGCUUGCGGUCGGUUUACAGGUGGUGCAUGGUUGUCGUCAGCUCGUGUCGUGAGAUGUUGGGUUAAGUCCCGCAACGAGCGCAACCCUCGUUCUAUGUUGCCAGCACGUUAUGGUGGGGACUCAUAGGAGACUGCCGGGGUCAACUCGGAGGAAGGUGAGGACGACGUCAAAUCAUCAUGCCCCUUAUGUCUUGGGCUUCACGCAUGCUACAAUGGCCGGUACAAUGGGUUGCGAUACUGUGAGGUGGAGCUAAUCCCAAAAAGCCGGUCUCAGUUCGGAUUGGGGUCUGCAACUCGACCCCAUGAAGUCGGAGUCGCUAGUAAUCGCAGAUC